AGCGGCGGACGGGUGAGUAACGCGUGGGUAACCUGCCUCACACUGGGGGAUAACAGUCAGAAAUGACUGCUAAUACCGCAUAAGCGCACAGCAUCGCAUGAUGCAGUGUGAAAAACUCCGGUGGUGUGAGAUGGACCCGCGUUGGAUUAGCUAGUUGGCAGGGCAGCGGCCUACCAAGGCGACGAUCCAUAGCCGGCCUGAGAGGGUGAACGGCCACAUUGGGACUGAGACACGGCCCAGACUCCUACGGGAGGCAGCAGUGGGGAAUAUUGCACAAUGGGGGAAACCCUGAUGCAGCGACGCCGCGUGAAGGAAGAAGUAUCUCGGUAUGUAAACUUCUAUCAGCAGGGAAGAUAAUGACGGUACCUGACUAAGAAGCCCCGGCUAACUACGUGCCAGCAGCCGCGGUAAUACGUAGGGGGCAAGCGUUAUCCGGAUUUACUGGGUGUAAAGGGAGCGUAGACGGUGUGGCAAGUCUGAUGUGAAAGGCAGGGGCUCAACUCCUGGACUGCAUUGGAAACUGCCAGACUUGAGUGCCGGAGGGGUAAGCGGAAUUCCUAGUGUAGCGGUGAAAUGCGUAGAUAUUAGGAGGAACACCAGUGGCGAAGGCGGCUUGCUGGACGAUAACUGACGCUGAGGCGCGAAAGCGUGGGGAGCAAACAGGAUUAGAUACCCUGGUAGUCCACGCUGUAAACGAUGAAUACUAGGUGUGGGAGGACUGACCCCUUCCGUGCCGCAGUUAACACAAUAAGUAUUCCACCUGGGGAGUACGACCGCAAGGUUGAAACUCAAAGGAAUUGACGGGGGCCCGCACAAGCAGUGGAUUAUGUGGUUUAAUUCGACGCAACGCGAAGAACCUUACCAGGAUUUGACAUCCCACUAACGAAGCAGAGAUGCAUUAGGUGCCCUUCGGGGAAAGUGGAGACAGGUGGUGCAUGGUUGUCGUCAGCUCGUGUCGUGAGAUGUUGGGUUAAGUCCCGCAACGAGCGCAACCCUUAUUACUAGUUGCCAGCAUUUAGUUGGGCACUCUAGUGAGACUGCCGGUGACAAACCGGAGGAAGGUGGGGACGACGUCAAAUCAUCAUGCCCCUUAUGACCUGGGCUACACACGUGCUACAAUGGAUGGUACAACGAGUUGCGAGACCGCGAGGUUUAGCUAAUCUCUUAAAACCAUUCUCAGUUCGGAUUGUAGGCUGCAACUCGCCUACAUGAAGCCGGAAUCGCUAGUAAUCGCGGAUCAGCAUGCCGCGGUGAAUACGUUCCCGGGCCUUGCACACACCGCCCGUCA
rnacentral:rRNA from 1 species